UGGAGGGAAAUGGAAUGAGGACUCUCAUCACUAAGCUUCACAACAACGCAAGUUGAUGAGCUCCUGAUGACUGGCACUGCUUGUUCGCUUCCUCUGGCUUCCUGCUACAUGGCAGACCAACUUCCCCCAAGAAAAUACGUGCCUUGUAACCUCACUUUCUGGAUAGCCCUUGUAUUUGCAGAUUUAAUACAUUCUUUCUAGGAAUAUAUGUCUUCUGGUGCAACACCUGCCAGAAGGUGGCCAUAAGAGGCUUCUCUAUGCAUUUGUAGGUCCGUCAACACAAUUGUAUGGCAACUUGUAGCAGACGUUCACCAUGAAAGUCAUAACUUUUUUAAAAAAUUGCCAUAUUUUUGCUUUUUGCAGGGAUCCUGUGCUUUUCACCCAAGAAAACGCUUAUUGUUAUUAACGCAUUUCUUCAAUUCUACGACUGCAUUAUUUGUAAGGCGCUCUCAUGUCACUCCCACCAACAGAAAAACAGAAAAGCUUUAUUGAUAAUAUCAGUCUUAAUUGGUUUAUGAAUCUGCUGUGCACUUUUUCCGCUGAGUGAAUUGAGUCUUUGAACCGUAUUAGAGAUUGAUGAUAGUUAUUAAUAACACCCGCAUUUACUCAAAUCUAAUGCUCACCUUUUGGGGCUCAAUGACCUUGUCAAAAUGAGGCUGCGCAUUAGAUUUGCAUAAUAUUGGCCAUCCUAGUGCUGAGUCAAAGCCAAAAGGAGAAUCUGCUUCAGGAGAAGCGGGACGUCACCUCAAAUUUAAUAGCAGUGGCUCCAUUGCAAUGCUGGGAUUUUGUAGUUUGGUGAGGUACCAGCAUCCUUUGGAAGAGAAAUGCUCAAGACCUUGCAAAACUACAUGUCCCCCCAUGACUCCAUAGCAUUGAAAUAUGGCAAUUAAAGUGCAGUCAUUAUGCAGCAUGCAUGUGGCCGAAGUUUGCCCAUGCCUAGUCCGAAGGUUUUCCUUUCCAUCACUGGAAGUUUUGUUGUUCUAUCACUUUUGUUUUCAAAGAAGGAAUGCUAAUUAAACAUGCAGCAAUUGCAAUGCACACUUCUUCUUUUUUUGCCCAAAUGAUGAAAGGAUGCACUUUUUGUAGAUGUCAUUCAGCAGCAAAUACCUUUUUUCUGAUUCUGGGAUUUUGGAAAUGGAGGUGCGCAUGAGAUCCAGUAGUGCAUGGGGAUCAAGUAAAUAAAGGGUAUUUAAAAGAGCCCUCGCAAUAUAUGCAGCAAUUGCAAUUUGCACUUUUUUCUUUUCUUUUUUUGCCCAAAUGACAAACGAAUUAGUUUUUUGCACAUGUCACUCAGCAGCAAAUACUUUAUUUGGCUUCAGGAUUUUGGAAAUGAGGUGCACAUGUUAUCCAAUGGCAGACAAGACCUGCAAUGCCAAGAUGCACCCCAUAUUUGGAGGCGGGGGGAAAAGAGCAUGUCUUAGAAUGGAAGAAAUGCAGCUUGAUCUUGAAGAAAUGCAGUCAGUUGCUUAACAGUGAAAGUUCAAUGCGCCCCGGGAAGGAAGCCUGCCCUUUUAAUGGGGGGCUUUAUUAAUGCUUGACCCCUCUCUCUGCCAUAUAAAACACAUCCCAAAUAGAGCAAAAGAGGGGCUUUGUCUGCAGGCAGAACAAAGCCACCUCUGUAUAUAGGAAAAGCGGCUCUCCAAAAGGACCUGUUGCACCCAAGGAUGGCCUUACGGUCGGUCCUUCAUGGAGCGGGAUUCGAACCCAGAACCCGAAGCUUUAAGAAGGGAGAAGUCUUUCACAUGGACCAUUACAAGCCUGAAUCACUUGCUUUUAAUGGAUUUGGGUUUACUCAAAGGGACACUCCAAAGAUACGGGAAAUUUCCAUAGAUAUAUAGGUUCAUAUUAAUUUCAGAUCCAAAAAUAAGCAUCUCAAUACUUUCUCCUACAGCAUCCAUUGCAAAACUUUGGAAAAGGUUAAAUUCACAAGUUAUUAUAUCUGUUUUUAUUGAAACCGCUUCCAAAUUCAAAAUCUGAGAGCAAAGUGUAAAAUCGGACCAAGUAAUUAUUUCCACGCUGUGCAUGAAUCAAAAAGAAAAAAAAAUCCAGAUAUUAUGGUGUAUAUAUUGUGACUAUUGUUAUUAUUAUUGCGUGCUUGCCAUACUUUGUAAGUGGAAGCAUUUCCGGCCCAGUUGUGGAUAAAAGGGACCCUUUGGGGUGUUUUUUUUCCUUUGUUUUCUUUUCACGUUGUAGUAAAUUAUUACGAAGCCAGUGACCUUUCAUGGCCCGUUGUUGUACCAAGCUGUGCUUGUUUUUGUUAUGAUGAUGAUGAUAUUUCUCACCCUUGUUCCUUAUUUUUACGGUUGUAUUGCUUUGUAUCCGUAAUGUAUAGAUAGAAGUUGUCCUGUACUGACGAAUGCCUCCUUUGCAGAGCAUUAAUUGCGGUUAAUUAAACCAGGGAACAGACAAAGCGGCAAAUGCCCCUCCAAAAAGCAAAUAACGUAAUUUGGGAAACAGAGAUUUUCUUUCCAAAUGUCAAACAAUACAGGUGGGCCCUGAAGCCUGUUUGGAAAGGAAAUGGCUGCAAAUAAAUGGGAAUCUUUGCCAAAAAAAA